UGUGUUUAUUUUCGAACAGUA
rnacentral:piRNA from 1 species